rnacentral:rRNA from 1 species
AUUGAACGCUGGCGGCAUGCCUAACACAUGCAAGUCGAACGGUAACAGGCCCUUCGGGGCGCUGACGAGUGGCGGACGGGUGAGUAAUGCUUAGGAAUCUGCCUAGUAGUGGGGGAUAACCCGGGGAAACUCGGGCUAAUACCGCAUACGUCCUACGGGAGAAAGCGGGGGACCUUCGGGCCUCGCGCUAUUAGAUGAGCCUAAGUCCGAUUAGCUAGUUGGUAGGGUAACGGCCUACCAAGGCGACGANCGGUAGCUGGUCUGAGAGGACGACCAGCCACACUGGGACUGAGACACGGCCCAGACUCCUACGGGAGGCAGCAGUGGGGAAUAUUGGACAAUGGGCGCAAGCCUGAUCCAGCGAUGCCGCGUGUGUGAAGAAGGCCUGCGGGUUGUAAAGCACUUUCAGUUGUGG